CCCCUAGAUGUUCUGGGCCGCACGCGCGCUACACUGAACAGUUCAACAAGUCUUAACCUUGGCCGAUAGGUCUGGGUAAUCUUUGAACGCUGUUCGUGAUUGGGAUAGACCUUUGCAAUUAUGGGUCUUCAACGAGGAAUUCCUAGUAAACGCAAGUCAUCAGCUUGCAUUGAUUACGUCCCUGCCCUUUGUACACACCGCCCGUCGCUACUACCGAUUGAAUGGUUUAGUGAGGCCUUCGGAUCCGCAACUCGUUUUGUGGAGAAGUUGGACAAACUCAGUCAUUUAGAGGAAGUAAAAGUCGUAACA
rnacentral:rRNA from 1 species